UUAAUUAGGAAGUACUGAAUUCAGAGUCGAUCUCAAGCAGGAAUAAGUUAGCAGCUAAAAAUACACUAUAAAGGAGGUGAAACAACAACAACUAGUUGGUGGUAUUCCAGCUGAACUUGGUAAAUUGGAGCAGUUUUUUGAAUUGUGAGUCUUGACAUCUUAAUUUUCUCUCAUAUAAUUUUCUUGUUUGAUCCUUUAUUUAUUUAAAGUUUGUUGGUCAUUCUUUUGUAGGAAUCUUGCUAAUAACAAUUUGGAAGGGCCAAUUCCUCAGAACAUUAGUUCUUGCACUGCAUUGAAUCAAAUGUAAGAAAUCUAAAUUCCAGCAACGAUCUUGGAGUGUUAAGUGGUGACAAGUGGUCAGCAUCACUUGACUCCACUGCAUACCACGUACAGUUUAUGGACUUGCAUUUUUGCUGGAUAUUGCUAGAAAUUGAUCGUUAUAUGCUUAACUGGGGGAGACGGCCAUGAUCCUUCUAAAACAGCUGUAAAAGCAUCUUCAGCAGCCAUUCUGGCAAGAAUUUUGGUAAUGAAUACCAAUUACCUUGCCCAUUUAACAUCACAACCAUAACUAUUGGUAGUUCUCCAGUAGGCAGGAUUCCUCAUUGAAGAAAACAUUCUCCUUUACCUGGUUGACAUAUGGCUUAAAAAGGUCAGCUACUCCUGAACAUAAAUUAGCUACUAAUAUGCAUUUUCCCAAUCCCUCUCUGGGGGUUACCUAAUUUUUGUUUUAUUUACAAAUUGAACUUUGACUGUAGGCCAAUAGCUAUCCCAUAUCCUGAACUGGAGGCUCAUGAUUAUUUAUUUAUGGCUAAUAUAUUACGAUAAAGACAAGGAUAAAUUAUUCUAAUCUAAAAAUGGGUUUGGAGAAACUGCACCGCUUGGAAAGAAAGUGGACGUUUUGGUUUUUUUUCUUUGUGGUAAUGUUUUCCCACCUCCCAUCUUCCAGGGUAAGCAGGAUAACCAUAAAAAAACAAAGUAUGUCCAAAUUUCUGUGGAGUCGUAUACACAUCUAAUUGGGUUUGAGGAUGAAGUGAAGUCUUACGAGGACCAAGUGAAUUCAUACGAGGAUCAAGUGAAGACAUUUGAGGAUCAAGUGACUUCAUACGAGGUUCAAGUGACUUCGUAUAAGGAUCAAGUGAAAGCAUUAGAAGAUGAUGUUGAGGAAUUGAAUGAAAAGCUGUCUGCUGCGAAUUCAGAGUUGACAACGAAGGAAAGUCUAGUAAAAUAGCACGCUAAACUUGCUGAAGAAGCUGUUUUAGGUACGUUGGUGUGGUGCUGGUCGUCCAUGAAAUAUUAGGUCGUGCAAUGUCAUAUAUUUUAUUCUUUUUUUAGAGUAAGAGAUUUUAUGAAAUUGAUUCAUUUCCUCGAACAGGUUGGGAAAAAGCUGAGGUAGAAGCUUUGGCAUUGAAAAAUCAUCUAGAAUCAGUUACAUUGUUAAAGCUUACUGCUGAAGAUCGAGCAUCACAUUUAGAUGGUGCUUUGAAGGAGUGCAUGCGGCAGAUUAGAAAUUUAAAAGAAGAACAUGAGCAGAAACUGCAGGAAGUUGUUCUUACCAAAACACAGUAAUACGAUAUGAUAAAGCUUGAGCUCGAAACACAGUUGAUAUAUUUAUUAGCUUUGGUAAGUUGGUGUUCAUUAGGUGCUUGUCUUGAUUUUGUAGGAGUGUAGAAAACUCUUUCUUGUGAAGUUGCCAGAAAGUAGAAAGUUCAUUGUAUCGAAAAACCAAAAAUUACUUGCGGUUCCUUUGGGUAUUGCAUCUGUGAAACACUGUGGGUAUUGCAUAAACUACACGGCAUAUGUAGUUUUUAAAAGCAUGUACAUGUCAUAACCCUCAUUAUUCUGUGCAAAGAGAAAUGACAUUCAAGAUACUUGACAGGCUAAUGGAUUCUGUAGAAAGACAAUUAGGAUAGGGGUUUCAAGUUAGAAAAUUUGAACACUUUUUCUCUUAUUGAUGAUCCUUGUGACACUGGUAGAUUUUUAAAAUGGUUAAACUAAGUGGUACAACUAUAUCUCUUUUGGUUUCAUGAAGUGAUAGGAAUCAUAUAUACAAGAUAGUAAUAAUCUUAAUAUACAUAAAUUAUUAAGUCGGUCUGUUGUUAGAAUAUAAUCAUAUACCUUAAUCAUCAGCUUUUAAGGAAGAUUUUAUCGAGGCGAUUUUGGCAUUGAUUCUGUGCAUCUCAUUCAUUUUAUCACAAUGAAACUGCAUUCUGCAACAGUUAUCUGUAUACUUGUUUAAUGCUAUUUUGUGUAGGCUGUAGAUGGUAUUGGCUUGUUAAGUAAAUUUCAUUGGAUAUUUCCCAGCUAGCUUAGAGACUAAUUGUAGAUUUGUCUAUAUUAUUUGUAUUCCCUACUCCAAGAAUGGUUUUUGGUUAGUCCUGCUGCUUGCGGCUUGAGAUUUUAGAUUUGUCUCAUGCUCUCUAUUCAUGUUUUUGUAAUUAUCUUUUCUCCCUAUUCUGUAGGUUUCCUGGGAAAUUUCUCUUUUAAUUCGUUCAGAGUACUCCUUGACUGAACCUUAUGUGGCGCAUGUUCUUAUUGAGGCUAUUCACUGUGGAUCUGUUAUAUUUGUUGGAAACAACAUGGUGAUUCGUGACGCGGACAUGUAUGGAUGUAACAUGGCAAAAUGUACACAUAGUAAUGCUAUGUUGUUAAACUCAAGAUUAAAAUGUACACAUAGUAAUGCUAUGUUGUUCUUGCACUGCAUUGAAUCAAAUGUAAGAAAUCUAAAUUCCAGCAACGAUCUUGGAGUGUUAAGUGGUGACAAGUGGUCAGCAUCACUUGACUCCACUGCAUACCACGUACAGUUUAUGGACUUGCAUUUUUGCUGGAUAUUGCUAGAAAUUGAUCGUUAUAUGCUUAACUGGGGGAGACGGCCAUGAUCCUUCUAAAACAGCUGUAAAAGCAUCUUCAGCAGCCAUUCUGGCAAGAAUUUUGGUAAUGAAUACCAAUUACCUUGCCCAUUUAACAUCACAACCAUAACUAUUGGUAGUUCUCCAGUAGGCAGGAUUCCUCAUUGAAGAAAACAUUCUCCUUUACCUGGUUGACAUAUGGCUUAAAAAGGUCAGCUACUCCUGAACAUAAAUUAGCUACUAAUAUGCAUUUUCCCAAUCCCUCUCUGGGGGUUACCUAAUUUUUGUUUUAUUUACAAAUUGAACUUUGACUGUAGGCCAAUAGCUAUCCCAUAUCCUGAACUGGAGGCUCAUGAUUAUUUAUUUAUGGCUAAUAUAUUACGAUAAAGACAAGGAUAAAUUAUUCUAAUCUAAAAAUGGGUUUGGAGAAACUGCACCGCUUGGAAAGAAAGUGGACGUUUUGGUUUUUUUUCUUUGUGGUAAUGUUUUCCCACCUCCCAUCUUCCAGG
rnacentral:lncRNA from 1 species